AUGAUAAGUUUUGACCAGGCUGAAUGCAAAAUGCAUGACCUCUUAAGACAGCUUGCUUUAAAUAUAUCAAGAGAAGAAUGUUUUGUUGGAGAUGUUGAAUCAUUAAGGAGUGAAAAUAUGUCAAAACUGCGACGUGUUACUGCUGUCGCGGCUAAGAAGGAUAUAUUAGUGUUGCCUAGCAAGGAUAAGGUGGAAUUUAAGGUGAGGACUUUCCUAACUGUUUGUGGUCCACAGAGAACUGAGGAUACAUUGUUCAAGAGAUUUCUUCUUCUUCGUGUUUUUGUACUGAAUUACACACUUGUGCAAAGCAUUCCAGACUAUAUAGGAAAAUUGAUACAUCUACGUCUACUUAAUCUGGAUUAUACUGGCAUAUCUUGUCUUCCGGAAUCCAUUGGCUCCCUAAAGAACCUUCAAGUACUGAGCUUGAGAUGGUGUGAUAAUCUGCAGUCUUCCUUUGGCAAUGACCCUCUUGUGCAGUUUAAGAUGUCUUGA
rnacentral:rRNA from 1 species